GUGCAUCGAACUGCUUCCCUCACUUUCGAUCAGUUGUUGCUCCACGAGAUAAACGUUGGACGCAAGACAUGGGUUCCUGUGUUGCAUACCUAUUGCGACGGAAAUGUGUGCCUUCGAUCGUCCCUUCCAUCACGGCGUCCUCACGGAUGCUCGGUUGGACCGGAUAGUGGGGCUCGUGUUCCACGAACGUCGUCUCAUUCGACCGUUCGGAUGGACCACGGGUGCCCACUCGUUCUCUCGGAUGCGGAAAUCUGUUGAUGGGCGUGGGGUCAUUGGCCCUUGGUCCCUAAUCGUUAAGCGUUUAUCGCUUCACCGGAAUGACGAUCUCGCCUUGUCCUUGACCACGCGAAGCCCUCGGGCAUCGCGACGGAUCAUGCUCGGCGGACGUCGUGAAGGAAUGC
rnacentral:misc_RNA from 1 species